rnacentral:rRNA from 1 species
GACAGAGGCCUCAAGCGUUAGGCGGAAUCACUGGGCUUAAAGCGUGUGUAGGCGGGUCGUUAAGUACCUUGUGAAAUCCCACGGCUCACCCGUGGAACUGCUGGGUAUACUGGCGAUCUUGGGCCAUUUAGGGGCAACUGGAACAAGCGGUGGAGCGGUGAAAUGCGUAGAUAUCAGGAAGAACACCCGUGGCGAAGGCGGCUCUCUGGGACGGUACUGACGCUGAGACGCGAAAGCGUGGGGAGCGAACAGG